rnacentral:misc_RNA from 1 species
GAUGAAGAACGUAGCGAAAUGCGAUACGUAAUGUGAAUUGCAGAUCUCUCAGUGAACCAUCGAAUUUUUGAACGCACAUUGCGCCCCCUGGUAUUCCGGGGGGCAUGCCUGUCCGAGCGUCAUUACAACCCUCAAGCUCAGCUUGGUGUUGGGCCCCGCCGCCCCGGCGGGCCCUAAAGUCAGUGGCGGUGCCGUCCGGCUCCGAGCGUAGUAAUUCUUCUCGCUCUGGAGGUCCGGUCGUGUGCUCGCCAGCAACCCCCAAUUUUUUUCAGGUUGACCUCGGAUCAGGUAGGGAUACCCGCUGAACUUCAGCAUAUCAAUAAGCGGAGGA